GGGUAGCUCAGUCAGUAGAGCACAAGACUCUUAAUCUCAGGGUUGUGGGUUCGAGCCCCACGUUGGACA